UGCGUCGAUUUGGCGCACUGUUACAAAAGCGCGCAUCAGCAUUGGACAUUUGGUAUACACGCACCCGAUGCGCGCUAAUAUAAGCGUAAUUUAUACAGGAAAUCUGCAUAAACCAUGGACUCAACCGUGGGUUUUCAAAACCACCUUUAUGAAUACGGGCCUGAAAGUUUUUCACUGUACCUUAGAUGUUAGAAAAUAUAAAUUUUGUGCAGACUUUGAGUAAAUAUUUGUCGAGUUUUGUACAAUUUUGAAGAUUUGUCGGAGGCCAUUGUGACUUCACUUUUCCUUCACUAAAAAACAAAUCUGGGGGGUGUUUCACAAAGAUUUAAGUAUGACUUAGAGUCGCACUUAAAUGCCUAGUUGCGCGAGGUAUAAAAGGCUUGACCGCAUUGGUCAGAUCACGCAAAGAGGACGCGCACUACAGCGUAUUGAUCAAUAAGAUUGCGCGUUGCAUUUCAGAUACGCGUCGGCAUUUAAGUGCGACAUACUUAAAUCUUUGUAAAACACCCCUCUGAUGGUCUUAUUGGUGACUCUAAUACACGUGUCCUACAAAACACUGACAAAAUAAUUUUGGAAAUUUAGAAAUUGCUGAGUGCUUGUCUGAACAUGAAUUCUUUUUUUCUCUCGAUGUCGGGAAAUAAUCCAAAGCUCUAUCUAGAAACCAUACAAACCCAUCUCACGAUCAUUGAGAAUUAUAAUCACAGAAACCCUUUAGAACAGUGAAUACCUUCAAAUAUAAAAAGAAUUGUAAAGCUCAGACUACUGAAACAAGAUAAUGUUUUAGAUCUUCUCGUUAUGUGGAUUAAAUAUAUCGGAUUACCAUGAAACCAUGGACGUGUUAUUGGGUUUCUCCCGUAACUAAACUCAUUCUUUGAACUACCUAGCUGCACACUAAUUGCAUAAAGCCUGAUAAAAGUCCCACAUUUUUUGAACUCUCUGGCCCGAUUUCACAAAGGUGUCUUUGAAUUUGUAAGACAUCGGAAGAUGAAAAUUACAGAUCACGGCUGCCUUACAUUCGAUUCAGGGGAGGGAUUUUCACAAAG